GGGCCCAUAGCUCAGCCUGGUUAGAGCGUUCGGCUGAUAACCGAAAGACUUCAAAGGAAUGCUUCCUUUAAGGGUCGCAGGCGCGCGUUCGAAUCGCGUUGGGCCCACCA
rnacentral:tRNA from 1 species